GGCUUCUCUUCUAGCCGCAGUUGACUUCUACGUAAGUCUGCACAGUGAUGUGUUCAUAUCGGCAUCCCCAGGGAACAUGCACAAUGCCAUGGUUUGCCAUCGAACUUACGAGAACUUGAAGACGAUAAGGCCAAGCAUGGGUUUACUUGGACAGCUCUUUCUAAACAAGAGCAUGGAGUGGUCGGAGUUUCAAAAGUCGGUCCUGGCGGGACACAAAGGUAGAUACGGGCAGAUGAGAUUGAGGAAAGCGAAGCAGUCCAUCUAUACAUAUCCCGCCCCAGAUUGCAUGUGUCAGGUGUGAGCUAUAUAACGUAUUCAAGUUCAUUAAGUUUGUUACUCAGUUCUAUUGUAAUGGCCUAGUAGCUCAGAUCUAGAAGGUUGUGCUUUGC
rnacentral:misc_RNA from 1 species